rnacentral:rRNA from 1 species
CUGGCUCAGGAUGAACGCUGGCGGCGUGCCUAAUACAUGCAAGUCGAACGCUUUGUGCUUAAUUGAGAUGAUGAGCUUGCUCUGAUUUGAUUUUUUGAUUUCAAAGAGUGGCGAACGGGUGAGUAACACGUGGGUAACCUACCUCUUAGCAGGGGAUAACAUUUGGAAACAAGUGCUAAUACCGUAUAAUAUCAACAACCGCAUGGUUGUUGAUUGAAAGAUGGUUCUGCUAUCACUAAGAGAUGGACCCGCGGUGCAUUAGCUAGUUGGUAAGGUAAUGGCUUACCAAGGCAAUGAUGCAUAGCCGAGUUGAGAGACUGAUCGGCCACAAUGGGACUGAGACACGGCCCAUACUCCUACGGGAGGCAGCAGUAGGGAAUCUUCCACAAUGGGCGCAAGCCUGAUGGAGCAACGCCGCGUGUGUGAUGAAGGGUUUCGGCUCGUAAAACACUGUUAUAAGAGAAGAACGGCACUGAGAGUAACUGUUCAGUGUGUGACGGUAUCUUACCAGAAAGGAACGGCUAAAUACGUGCCAGCAGCCGCGGUAAUACGUAUGUUCCAAGCGUUAUCCGGAUUUAUUGGGCGUAAAGCGAGCGCAGACGGUUAUUUAAGUCUGAAGUGAAAGCCCUCAGCUCAACUGAGGAAUUGCUUUGGAAACUGGAUGACUUGAGUGCAGUAGAGGAAAGUGGAACUCCAUGUGUAGCGGUGAAAUGCGUAGAUAUAUGGAAGAACACCAGUGGCGAAGGCGGCUUUCUGGACUGUAACUGACGUUGAGGCUCGA